rnacentral:lncRNA from 1 species
AAAUGUUCAACUACAAGAUCACAAUAUCAAGCCUACAACAAGCAUUCAACUCCGACAAGGCUAACAACAUGUAAUCUUUAGCGAAAGAGAGAAAAAUGAGAGAACAUCACCAAAAAACGUAGCUGCUAAAAAAUGGGUAUUUCCGACGCUACAAGACUCGGAUGAAAAAUCCGACCGUACAAAGUCAAGAACACCUUAUCACCUAGCUGUUGUCCAAAAAUCAGCUCAAUCGAACCACGGAUGGUCCUUCGAUCGAAGAGUUGAUCACUGCUGCACCAAGCUUGAAAAACUGAUUUUUCUAUUCUCUUUCUCUCUACUUUUUUUUUUAGCUCUCUGCAGAAAUUUCUGCCCACUCCCACGUUAAUAAGCCAAAAAAUUGGCUUUUGACAAAACCAAAAGAAAAGGAAGGCAAAACAUUGUGGCAGAAAAUAUGGGUUUCCCACAUAGUGGGACCCAUACCCAACAAAUCUCCCCCUCCAACUAUGUGGGGAAUGCCUCCAUGCCGGAGGUCAAACAACAUGCUUUAAACUUUCCUCUUGGUAAGGCCUUCGUCAACAUAUCAGCACCAUUAUCAUUAGUGUGUAUCUUAUCAAGCUCUAACAGCUUAACUUCAAGAACAUCUCGUAUCCAAUGGUACCUCACAUCAAUAAGCUUAGAUCUAGCAUGAAAAGUUGAGUUCUUACCAAGAUGAAUAGCACUCUGGCUAUCACAGUACAGGACAUACUUCUCCUGAGUAAAACCAAGCUCAUGCACAAACUUCUUCAUCCAAAGUAUCUCCUUACACGCUUCGGUUGCUGCAAUGAACUCUGAUUCGGUGGUGGACAAUGCAACACACUUUUGCAGUCUCGAUUGCCAUGCCACAGCUCCCCCUGCAUAAGUGAUUAAGUAACCUGAAGUAGAUCUCCUCGAGUCAAUGUCUCCAGCCAUGUCUGAAUCUGUAUACCCAACAAGAACAGGUUUCUCAUUGCCGAAACAAAGUUUCAUGUUGGAAGUGCCACGAAGAUAUCUCAUAAUCCACUUCACUGCAUUCCAAUGCUCUCUGCCUAGAUUAGAAAGAAACCGACUAACUGUACCAAUGGCAUAAGCCAAGUCUGGUCUCGUGCAAACCAUUGCGUACAUCAAACUACCCACGGCUGAAGAGUAAGGAAUUUUCUGCAUCUCUUCCUUCUCCUUUUCUGUGGAAGGACUAUGCUUAACACUCAAUCUAAAGUGCAUAGCAAAGGGAGUAUUCACCGCUUUAGCUUUGUCCAUACUAAACCUUUGAAGUACUUUCUCAAUGUACCUCUCUUGUGAUAACCAUAAUUUCUUGGCCUUUCUAUCACGUGUCAGUCUUAUGCCAAGAAUUUGCUUUGCUGGCCCCAAAUCCUUCAUUGCAAAGGAUUUACUCAACUCUUGUUUCAACUUCUCAAUUCUAGAAGCAUUCUGACCAACAAUAAGCAUAUCAUCAACAUAGAGCAAAAGAAUAAUAAAAUCAUCACCAGAGAAUCUCUUAACAAACACACAAUGAUCAGAAGUAGUCUUCUUGUAGCCUUGCUCCCCCAUAACAGACUCAAACUUCUUGUACCAUUGCCUUGGAGCUUGCUUCAAACCAUACAAGCUCUUCUUCAAUCUGCACACAUAGUCCUCUUCCCCUUGUGCAACAAAACCCUCUGGCUGCUCCAUGUAAAGCUCUUCUUCCAAGUCACCAUGAAGAAAAGCAGUUUUCACAUCCAUUUGUUCAACCUCUAGGUCAUAACAAGCUACCAAACUCAGUAUAGUUCUGAUAGAGGACAUCUUUACAACCGGAGAAAAUAUUUCUUCAAAAUCAACCCCUUUUUUCUGAGUAUAACCCUUGACGACCAAUCUAGCUUUGUAUCGUGGAGAUGAAGACUUCUCUUCUUGCUUCAACCUGUAAACCCACCGAUUAUUCAAAGCUCUUUUGCCCUUAGGCAGUUUCACCAAUUCAAAAGUAUGGUUCUCAUGCAAGGAUUGAAGUUCGUCUUUCAUCGCUUCAACCCACUGAUCUUUGCAUUCACUCUCCAUAGCCUCUUCAUAACAUUCAGGUUCUCCCCCGUCAGUCAAAAGAACAUAUUCAUCAGGAGAAUACCUGACAGAAGAUCGUCGAUCUCUGGAAGACCUUCGAAGUGGAACUGCUGGUGGAGCUAUAGGUGCUUGUUGUUGAUCAUUCACAACAUCAUCCAUGGGAGUAUCAAAGUCACCUAUAGUCUGAUGGUUACCACUAACAUCACCAUGCACAUCAUCCUGGAUAGGAUCUGGUGAAGAGUCUAGGGGAACCGGAUUCACAUCGAUCAAGUCACCACUACCUUGUGAAUCCACUUUCUCCAUCUUAUCAAUGUCAUCAAUGGUCUGAUCCUCAAUGAAGACAACAUCUCUGCUUCUCACGAGUUUCUUCUGAACUGGAUCAUAGAGUCUAUAACCAAACUCACCAUCUAGACCAUAACCAAUAAAAAUGCAUUGUCGAGCCUUGGCAUCCAACUUGGAUCUUUCUUCCUUUGGAACAUGAACAAAUGCUUUACAACCGAACACACGUAGGUGAUCAUAUGACACGUCUUUACCAACCAAACUCUAUCUGGCACAUCACCUUUCAAAGGAACACUAGGAGACAGAUUUAUCACAUGUGUCACUGUAUUCAAAGCUUCAGCCCAAAAUAAUCUUGGUAACUUUGCAUCUGACAACAAACAUCUGACUCUCUCAAUCAAUGUUCGGUUCAUUCUUUCAGCUAACCCAUUUAACUGUGGAGUCUUUGGUGGUGUUCUCUGAUGUCUGAUUCCCUGUCGCAGACAAUACUCAUGAAACGACCCUGUGUACUCGCCACCAUUAUCAGUACGAAUGCACUUCAACUUUUUCCCAGUUUCCCUUUCAACUGAUGCUUGAAACUAUUUAAACACCUCAAAGACUUGAUUUUUAGACUUCAAAGUGUAAACCCAUAGCUUUUUUGAACAAUCAUCAAUGAAAGUCACAAAGUAAAGUGCACCACCAUGUGAUCUUACUUUUAUCGGACCACAAACAUCUGAAUGGACCAACUCUAGCAACUCUGAUUUCCUAUGAGGAGGAUGGCUUCUAAAUGAAACUCUUUUCUGCUUUCCUACUAGACAAUGAGCACAAUUCUUCAGUGUAGCAUUCUUUAAACCCGAAAGUUGAUUCUUCUUCGCUAAACAGCUAAGCCCCUUCUCACUCAUGUGACUGAGUCGUUUAUGCCACAACUCAAUUGAGCUGUCAUUCAGUGUCACAUUCACCAUCUCUCGAGAAGUCAAAGCUUGCAUCAAGUACAAAUUUGAGCUCUUCUUUCCUCGAGCCACAACUAAGGAGCCUUUAGUCAGCUUCCACUACCCUUCACUGAAGGUGUUACAAAAUCCCUCAUCAUCAAGUUUUCCUGCAGAAAUCAAAUUCAAACGGACAUCCGGUGCAUGUCUGACAUCCUUGAGAGUUAACUUUGUUCCAUUGUUACUUACCAAGCUAACAUCUCUCAUACCAAUAACCGAAACCAAACCAUCAUUAUCCAUCUUCAAUACCCUAAAAUCACCAGGAGUAUAAGAUGUGAAGAAUUCCUUCCUCGACGUGACAUGAAGUGAUGCACCAGUAUCAAUCACCCAACUAGUCUCGUCGCAUGCUAGGUUGACCAAAUUCUCAUCACAAAUAACUAACAAAUCUUCACGAGUAACAGUAGCAACACGCUCGGAUUUUUCAUCAUCAUUCCGGUCGUGUUUAUCACCACCACCUUUGUUCUCUUUCUUCCACUUGAAGCAAUAUUUCUUGAUAUGACCUUUCUUACCACAAUGAUGACACUCAAGAUUCUUGUAUCUCGAUCUUGACUUGCUUCGGCUUUUAUCUCUACCCUUUCCAUCUUUGUCUCUGUUUCUCCCCCUGUUCUCGAUAACCAACACCUCGGACUGUGAUGUAGAACCCUGAGAUCUUCUUCUAACCUCUUCAUUCAACACACCACUCUUAGCCAAAUCCAAAGUAAUAAUACCCUGUGGGGCAGAAUUAAUGAGUGAGACUCGAAAGGUCUCCCAAGAGUCUGGUAGAGUAGCAAGCAACCAAAGUCCUAAAAUCUCGUCAUCAAAUUUGACACCCAUACCAAGCAACUGAUUCAUCAUACUCUGAAAUUCACUAACAUGGUCAGCUAUAGACAUUCCUUCUUUAUAUUUCAGCGCCAUCAUUUUCUUCAGCAAAAAUAACUUGUUAUUGCCCGACCUCGAAGCAUACAAGCUUUCAAGCUUCUCCCACAAUGUUCGAGCAUGUGUCUCCUGAUCAAUGUGAUUGUAAACAUUUUCUUCAACAAAUUGCCGAAUAAAGCCACACACUUGUUGAUGCUCAAAUUCCCAUUCUUCAUCACUUUUCGAAUCGGGUUUUUGAGUAGUAAAGACCGGAAGAUGCAAAGCCUUCACAAACAACAAGUCCUUCAUUUUAUUCCGCCAAAGUUGAUAAUUUGUGCCAUUCAACAUAAUCAUCUUGCUCGUAUUAAUUUCCAUAAUUAUCUGACACAAUAACCAAGCUCUGGUACCAGUUUGUUGGGAAGAAACCGAACAACCGAAACAAAGCGAAAGCACAACCGGUGUUCUUUCUCUCCUUAUAACUCCUGUCAAAAAUUAUGGCAAGCACAAUAGCACAAGAUAUGUUCUCUAGCAACCUUAAUCAACCACAAAUCAACUAAUGCAACCACAACAAAAAAUAAAUAGAGACACAGAUAUUUUUACGUGGAAAACCCCUUUAAAUCAAGGGUAAAAAACCACGGGACUUUAGAGUCCGAUAAAGAGCUCUACUAUCAUCAAAUGUUCAACUACAAGAUCACAAUAUCAAGCCUACAACAAGCAUUCAACUCCGACAAGGCUAACAACAUGUAAUCUUUAGCAAAAGAGAGAAAAAUGAGAGAACAUCACCAAAAAACGUAGCUGCUGAAAAAUGGGUAUUUCCGACGCUACAAGACUCGGAUGAAAAAUCCGACCGUACAAAGUCAAGAACACCUUAUCACCUAGCUGCUGUCCAAAAAUCAGCUCAAUCGAACCACGGAUGGACCUUCGAUCGAAGAGUUGAUCACUGCUGCACCAAGCUUGAAAAACUGAUUUUU